rnacentral:lncRNA from 1 species
GUUACAUUGAUAGUUCUGGAGUUGGCGGUGAAAUACCUUCUACAUUUGCUAAUUUACAGAACAUGGUUACAGUGUCGGAGAUCAAGUUUUCCUCAAAAGCAUUCUAAACUCUACCGAGACUGUAGCAAGAGGAAGGGUCCGGAGCUUGGACCCAAAUGAUCUAGUUGGUGGUACAGAGAUUGGACCCGAAUGGUGUGAGGUAAACGUUUAAGUACCAAUAAAAAAAAGAUGAAAACUUGGUAAGACCAUAUGGUUUAUUUUCUACAAUUCAAGAUUGUAUUGGUGCAUCCAUCGCAUGGCCCUAUCCAUUCAUCUCGGUAUGUAUUUGUUAAACUUGUGAUACAAAUAAUUUUAAUAUCAUGGAACUUAAUGCUUAUACAUGGAUGGUUUAUUUGUAGGUAGUCCAUGAGGAUUGAGGACGCAU